rnacentral:rRNA from 1 species
CCCUUAGAUGUUCGGGACCGCACGCGCGCUACACUGAAGGAAUCAGCACGUCUUUCUCCUUGUCCGAAAGGACUGGGUAACCCGCUGAACCUCCUUCGUGCUAGGGAUUGGGGCUUGUAAUUCUUCCCCAUGAACGAGGAAUUCCCAGUAAGCGCGAGUCAUAAGCUCGCGUUGAUUACGUCCCUGCCCUUUGUACACACCGCCCGUCGCUACUACCGAUUGGAUGGUUUAGUGAGAUCCUCGGAUUGGUCCCGGCGCGGCCUCUGGUCGUGCCGGAGUGCCGAAAAGAAUGUCGAACUUGAUCAUCUAGAGGAAGUAAAAGUCGUAACA